GACGAACGCUGGCGGCGUGCCUAAUACAUGUAAGUAGAACGCUGAAGGAGGAGCUUGCUUCUCUGGAUGAGUUGCGAACGGGUGAGUAACGCGUAGGUAACCUGCCUGGUAGCGGGGGAUAACUAUUGGAAACGAUAGCUAAUACCGCAUAAGAGUAGAUGUUGCAUGACAUUUGCUUAAAAGGUGCAAUUGCAUCACUACCAGAUGGACCUGCGUUGUAUUAGCUAGUUGGUGGGGUAACGGCUCACCAAGGCGACGAUACAUAGCCGACCUGAGAGGGUGAUCGGCCACACUGGGACUGAGACACGGCCCAGACUCCUACGGGAGGCAGCAGUAGGGAAUCUUCGGCAAUGGACGGAAGUCUGACCGAGCAACGCCGCGUGAGUGAAGAAGGGUUUCGGAUCGUAAAGCUCUGUUGUAAGAGAAGAACGAGUGUGAGAGUGGAAAGUUCACACUGUGACGGUAUCUUACCAGAAAGGGACGGCUAACUACGUG
rnacentral:rRNA from 1 species